rnacentral:rRNA from 1 species
GUGGGGAAUCUUCCGCAAUGGACGAAAGUCUGACGGAGCAACGCCGCGUGAGUGAUGAAGGUCUUCGGAUUGUAAAGCUCUGUUAAUCGGGACGAAAGAGUUCUGUGUGAAUAAUGCAGAAAAGUGACGGUACCGGAAUAGAAAGCCACGGCUAACUACGUGCCAGCAGCCGCGGUAAUACGUAGGUGGCAAGCGUUGUCCGGAAUUAUUGGGCGUAAAGCGCGCGCAGGCGGCCUAUCCAGUCUGUCUUAAAAGUUCGGGGCUCAACCCCGUGAUGGGAUGGAAACUAGUAGGCUAGAGUAUCGGAGAGGAAAGCGGAAUUCCUAGUGUAGCGGUGAAAUGCGUAGAUAUUAGGAAGAACACCAGUGGCGAAGGCGGCUUUCUGGACGAAAACUGACGCUGAGGCGCGAAAGCCAGGGGAGCGAACGGG